rnacentral:tRNA from 1 species
GCGGAUAUAGUUCAAUGGUAGAAUAACAGCCUUCCAAGCUGUAGAUGCGAGUUCGAUUCUCGUUAUCCGCU